rnacentral:rRNA from 1 species
UGACAGGUGGUGCAUGGUUGUCGUCAGCUCGUGUCGUGAGAUGUUGGGUUAAGUCCCGCAACGAGCGCAACCCUCGACCUUAGUUGCCAGCAUUCAGUUGGGCACUCUAAGGUGACUGCCGGCUAAAAGUCGGAGGAAGGUGGGGAUGACGUCAAAUCAUCAUGCCCUUUAUGACCUGGGCUACAAACGUACUACAAUGGCCAAUACAAAGAGAUGCGAAGCGGUGACGUGGAGCGAACCUCAGAAAGUUGGUCUCAGUUCAGAUUGAAGUCUGCAACUCGACUUCAUGAAGGCGGAAUCGCUAGUAAUCGCGAGUCAGCAGAUCGCGGUGAAUACGUUCCCGGGUUU